GCAUAAUCACUUGUUUCCUAAAUAGAGACUAGUAUCAACGGCAUCACGAGGGUUAAACUGUCUCCCACCCCCCAUCAGUGAAACUGAUCUCCCCGUGAAGAAGCGGGGAUACAGUUAUAAGACGAGAAGACCCUAUGGAGCUUCAGGCAAUGCAGGCACCAUUACAAAACAAAACCACACAUAUACUAAAUCUGCCUGCCAGCCUUAGGUUGGGGCGACCGCGGAGUAAAAUAAAACCUCCACAACAAACAGGACUACACCUUAAUCCAAGAGCCACCACUCCAAGAAUAGAUAAAUCAAUGUAAUAUGACCCGAUAAUCGAUCAAUGAACCAAGUUACCCUAGGGAUAACAGCGCAAUCCAUUUCUAGAGCCCAUAUCAACAAAUGGGUUUACGACCUCGAUGUUGGAUCAGGGUAUCCCAGUGGUGCAGCCGCUACUAAAGGUUCGUUUGUUCAACGAUUAAAACCCUACAUGAUCUGAGUU
rnacentral:rRNA from 1 species